rnacentral:rRNA from 1 species
CGCGUAUGCAACCUACCCUUAACAGGGGGAUAGCCCGGGGAAACCCGGAUUAAUACCCCAUAAUGUAAUUGAAUGGCAUCAUUUGAUUAUUAAAUUUCCGAAGGUUAAGGAUGGGCAUGCGUCUGAUUAGCUAGUUGGUGAGGUAACGGCUCACCAAGGCUACGAUCAGUAGGGGUUCUGAGAGGAAGAUCCCCCACACUGGCACUGAGAUACGGGCCAGACUCCUACGGGAGGCAGCAGUAGGGAAUAUUGGGCAAUGGAGGCAACUCUGACCCAGCCAUGCCGCGUGCAGGAAGAAGGCGCUCAGCGUUGUAAACUGCUUUUGUCCGGGAAGAAUGAUCGCUACGCGUAGCGAGAGUGACGGUACCGGGUGAAUAAGCACCGGCUAACUCCGUGCCAGCAGCCGCGGUAAUACGGAGGGAGCAAGCGUUGUCCGGAUUUAUUGGGUUUAAAGGGUGCGUAGGUGGCUUGUUAAGUCCGGGGUGAAAGGCGGUGGCUCAACCAUCAGCAGUGCCCUGGGUACUGGCAGGCUCGAGUAAGUUUGAGGCCGGUGGAACGGGUGGUGUAGCGGUGAAAUGCAUAGAUACCAUCCAGAACACC